GACGAACGCUGGCGGCGUGCUUAACACAUGCAAGUCGAACGGGGAAGGGGCUUGCUUUUUUGGGCCCUGGAUGAGUGGCGAACGGGUGGUUAACACGUGAGUAACCUGCCCCCUUCUUCUGGAUAACCGCAUGAAAGUGUGGCUAAUACGGGAUAUUCUGGGUCUGUCGCAUGAUGGGUCUGGGAAAGAUUGCGCCUUUGGGGGUUUUUGGUGGGGGAUGGGCUCGCGGCCUAUCAGCUUGUUGGUGGGGUGAUGGCCUACCAAGGCGGUGACGGGUAGCCGGCCUGAGAGGGUGGACGGUCACACUGGGACUGAGACACGGCCCAGACUCCUACGGGAGGCAGCAGUGGGGAAUAUUGCACAAUGGGCGCAAGCCUGAUGCAGCGACGCCGCGUGAGGGAUGGAGGCCUUCGGGUUGUAAACCUCUUUCGCCAGUGAAGCAGGCCUGCUCCUUGUGGGUGGGUUGACGGUAGCUGGAUAAGAAGCGCCGGCUAACUACGUG
rnacentral:rRNA from 1 species